rnacentral:sRNA from 1 species
AAUAUCGCGCUUUAAAUACACACACGUUUCGUCACAUACGGCUGGGUCCCAUGAGGGUGCUGUAUGGGGGACGUGGAGGCCUAAC